rnacentral:rRNA from 1 species
GUGAGGAAUAUUGCGCAAUGGAGGCAACUCUGACGCAGCCAUGCCGCGUGCAGGAAGAAGGCGCUACGCGUUGUAAACUGCUUUUAACCGGGAAGAAACCCCAGGACGUGUCCUGGGUUGACGGUACCGGAGGAAUAAGCACCGGCUAACUUCGUGCCAGCAGCCGCGGUAAUACGAAGGGUGCAAGCGUUAUCCGGAUUCAUUGGGUUUAAAGGGUGCGUAGGCGGAGCGUUAAGUCAGUGUUGAAAUCCUGCAGCUUAACUGUAGACUUGCAAUGGAUACUGGCGCGCUUGAGUGCGCUUGAAGUGGGCGGAAUGUGCCGUGUAGCGGUGAAAUGCUUAGAUAUGGCACAGAACACCAAUUGCGAAGGCAGCUCACUAAGGCGAUACUGACGCUGAGGCACGAAAGCGUGGGGAUCGAACAGGAUUAGAAACCCCAGUAGUCC